AUAAAAUGGGUGCAAUACGCAUGCGUGUCAAUCAUGAAGUUCCAAAGUUCAUUUUUUAAACUUUUUACUAAACAUUUACGGCGUUCCAUUUAUCCAGUUUUGGUUUCAAAUUAAGUUCACUCCAAUAACCAGUGAAUUAUUCAUACUUUGACACUGAUAUACUAUAUAACAAAACACUUAUUUACUGAGACCUUGGGAAAGCAGUGUGUUUUGUAGCCCCUCGACCGCC